GUGCUUGCUUCGGCAGCACAUAUACUAAAGCCGGAACAAUGCAGAGACGAUGAGCGUGCCUCCUGUGCCAGGACGACAUGCAUGCUCUGGAAGCGUUGCUUAGUUUU